CCCACAUCCAUCUCCCUUCUUCGCCUCUUCCAGCUCUCUGUCUUCUCCUCUUUCUCCAGCUGCUCGCUGUUCACCUUCUGCAUGGCCAUGGCUGUCCGUGCUUCGUUCUACCUUCCAACGCCACUCGAUCUGCAGGCCUGCAAAAGGAAAAGGAGGGAUGAAAUAGUAGCUAUGAUGUUGGCUCGGCUCACUCAGAUGACCACCCUCUCUGCUGGGGCGAUGCACGCGAGAUCGCUGGUGUUUCUGAUUGAGCCGUGCCAAUAUCUUAGUACUCUUUCAUACUACGUAUUUUCAGUCGUAUUCUCAACAAAAUCGAGGUUCCUUCUUGUGUUCACUUGAGAUCUUGAGGAAGAAAGAUUGGACUGGUGAGAUAGAUCCAAAUGCUGAUGGCUUCCCUGUUCUGUCGACCAUGGAGUCGAAAUAAACAGGAGUGCAGAUACCUGUAAGGCUGAAAGACAGUCGUAGCUACGGCGAGCGAAGCCUCUGUAAUUCUUCUUGGAUCGAUCUUGAAUUUAUGUUUGAGGCCUGCCACAUGAAGGCAUGCGUAUGCAGCAGUCAUACAGUUUGAGACUUUUUUUUUGAAACGAAACACUUAAACUUGAAUGUAUGCACCUUGUACU